UACGUAGGGUGCAAGCGUUAAUCGGAAUUAUUGGGCGUAAAGCGUGCGCAGGCGGUUUUGCAAGACAGAUGUGAAAUCCCCGGGCUUAACCUGGGAACUGCAUUUGAGACUGCAUGGCUGGAGUGCGGCAGAGGGGGAUGGAAUUCCGCGUGUAGCAGUGAAAUGCGUAGAUAUGCGGAGGAACACCGAUGGCGAAGGCAAGCCCCUGGGCCUGCACUGACGCUCAUGCACGAAAGCGUGGGGAGCAAACAGG
rnacentral:rRNA from 1 species